rnacentral:rRNA from 1 species
GAUGAACGCUAGAGGUAGGCUUAACACAUGCAAGUCGAGGGGUAUAGGCUUUCGGGCCUAGAGACCGGCGCACGGGUGCGUAACGCGUAUGCAAUCUGCCUUACACUAAGGGAUAGCCCAGAGAAAUUUGGAUUAAUACCUUAUAGUAUAUUGAUGUGGCAUCACAAUGAUAUUAAAGAUCUAUCGGUGUAAGAUGAGCAUGCGUCCCAUUAGCUAGUUGGUGUGGUAACGGCAUACCAAGGCAAUGAUGGGGAGGGGUCCUGAGAGGGUGAUCCCUCAUCCGAGAACCGGGGCACGGACCAGACUCCUACGGGAGGGAGCAGUUAGGAAUAUUGGACAAUGGGCGCAAACCUGGUCCAGCCAUGCCGCGUGCAGGAUGACGGUCCUAUGGAUUGUAAACUGCUUUUGUACGGGAAGAAACACUCCUACGUGUAGGAGCUUGACGGUACCGUAAGAAUAAGGAUCGGCUAACUCCGUGCCAGCCGCCGCCGUAA